GUCCACGGUCACACCACUCUGAAAGUGCUCCAUCUCAUCUGAUCUAGGAAACUAAGCAGGGUCAUGGCUAGUUAGUACUUGGCUGGGAGAAUGCAGAGCAGUGUAGACA
rnacentral:rRNA from 1 species